AUUUAUGUCAGGUACCUACUGCUCUAUGAAAGAAAUUUUUAAUGGCCGCAGUAAACUGACUGUGCUAAGGUAGCAUAAUAAAUUGGCCUUUAAUUGUGGUCUGGUAUGAACGGAAACAUAUGUAGCUUCUGUCUCAUUUGUACUGUUGGUAAAUUACUUAGUAGGUGAAAAUUCCUAUAAGCUUAUUUGUUGGACGAUAAGACCCUUAGAAUUAUUAAUAAGUGAACACAUAAUGUGUUAAUCUUUUUUGUUGGGGCGACAUAUUAUCAAAUAAACAUAAUAAAUAUAAUAAACACAGGUCUAAUUUAAUCAGGAAGACUUAAUUACCUAAGGGAUAACAGCAUAAUAUAAAUAUAUGUUUAUGACCUCGAUGUUGGACUAGGUUAAUUUAUUAAUUAGAAGUUAUAAGUACUGUUCUGUUCGAACAGUACA
rnacentral:rRNA from 1 species